ensembl:lncRNA
GCUGUGUCCAGGGCAGGUCAGACUUUACAGCUGUCUGAUUGGUUCCUUGGGUGUGGAGAUGAAGGAGACACUGGCUGUGAUUGGUUGGUAUGGAAAGGGGCGGGGUUCGAAAACAGCAGUAGAUGAAUCCUUGUUCUUUUUCCUCCCCCUCUUUCUUCUCCUCUGUCAGGAAGCUGUACAAAGUCGCGUUCCCUCCUUCAGACAACACUGAUAGCGCCACCCUCCUUCCUGGAGAGAUGGAGGGGAGGAGAGGUGAAAGGAGGAGGAGGGAAGGCAAGGAGAGAGGAGAGAAGAGAGGGGGAAAGAAGGAGGGGAGAUGAGGAGAGAAGAGAAGAGGAAAGGAGGAAGAGGGGAGGCAAGAAGAAAAGAGGACAAAAUGAGGGGAAGGGGAGGCAAGGAGAGAGGAGGGAAGAGGAGGAGGAGGGGAGGCAAGGAGAGAGGAGGGAAGAGGAGGAGGAGGGGGGGCAAGGAGAGAAGAGGAGGAGGAGGGGAGGCAAGGAGAGAGGAGAGAAGAGGAGGAGGAGGGGAGGCAAGGAGAGAAGAGGGGAGGCAAGGAGAGAAGAGGAGAGGGGAGGCAGGGACAGAGGAGAGAAGAGGAGGAAGAGGGGAGAGGAGGAGGGGAGGCAAGGAACCAGGAGAUGAGAGGGGAAAAUAGAGGAGAAGAAGAGAGGGGGAGGAGAGGAAAGGUGAGGAGUAAAAUCCAACAUUUUCAGUCAAUAAAA